rnacentral:lncRNA from 1 species
GUCCUCUUUUGGCACCUCAUGAAAUUAUAGAGGACUGCAUUUUAAGUGGUUAUAAUAUAAAAAAAGGAACUCGUCUAAUCACAAAUCUUUGGAAGAUUCACACAGACAAGAAUGUUUGGGAAGAUCCAUUGGAGUUCAAACCUGAAAGGUUUCUUACAACUUACAAAGAUCUCGAUGUCAAAGGUCAUCAUUUUGAGCUAAUACCAUUUGGAGGUGGUAGAAGAAUGUGUCCAGGAAUAUCCUUUGGCCUUGAAGUAGUGCAAUUCUCUCUUGCUAGUAUUUUGCACUCUUUUGAAUUUUUAAGUUCAUCACCUGAUCCUAUUGACAUGACCGAAACCUUUGGAUUAACCAACACCAAAGGCACUCCACUUGAGAUUCUUAUUAAACCACGUCUAUCUUUUAGUUGUAACGAAAACAACUAAUCCAUGUGCUAGCUAUGCUGUCACAAUUUGUUUUCAUUUAAAGUACUUUUUUUCUAUAAUAUUGUUCAAAGUCUUUGUUAUCUUUGUAUUUUCAUUCAAAGUGCUUGAUAUAUUUGUACUUUCCUUCAAAGUACUUGAUAUAUUUAUAGUUUAUCUUGGUAAACUUUGAAACUCUUUCAAAUAUAUAUUAUUUUUAGUAGACUUUCUUUAUUGAGUCAGGUUAGAGAGUUGGACCGUAUUUAGAGAUUCAUUGCUUAAUUCUUAAUCGCGGAUUGAAGUGAUUAAUCCUAUUUGAACGUAAUUGUAUUUAUGUUGUCGAUCAGUUCAUUAAUGUGGAUUACGAUCUCGAUCGGUCACUGAUAAGUCUCGAGAGAUUACAUUAGUCGAUACAAUUAAUGAAUUGCUUAAUUGGUUAACCGUGACUGAUGAAGGUGUGCAAUAAUUGGAAACCAGAGGCAAAAUACAGAGUGCACUAAUUAGCUUAGCAAAUAAUAAGAAAGUGAUGCAUAACAGUUUCACAUAGAAAGAGUUUUGCAAAUCCUUCAACGGGUGGGUGCCAUUUUUACAUGCACCACAUCUCUUUUUUCAGGUAAGUCACGUACUACUUUAAUAUUUAUGUACCCUUUGAUUAAAUGCCUCAUUGGUCAAUGAGCUUACGAUUAUAACACAUCAUUUUCUUAUGCUUUCAUAUUAUAUUAAUAUUCAAAUGACCUACACUGCAAAAUGAUGUGUUAGUAUAACGUGUUUUAAUUUUAAUUAUAUCUCUAUACUUUUUUUCUAUUAGUUUUAAAAGUCUUCUCUUGAUUUGUGCGUCUUAUCUUUAGUCGGGGAUUCUUUGCAUUUUUCCAAUUUUCUCAUAUGUACCACGAGGAACAAAGUCUUGUUUUUUGAAUUUUCUUAGCAGUAAUAGAAUGAAAAUUUUGACUUAUAUGUAAAAAUAUUAUUCAGUAUUACUGGAGCAAUUUUGUCCCAUUCACUACUUUAUUGUUGAGUGGUUCAAUAUUUGUGGCUGAAGACAUCAUAUAUAUAAUAUAUGCGAACCUUAUAUUAUUUUAAUUUAUUUCUUUUACAUGAACUUGGACUUUAUUGAUUCUGGUCUAAAUUAUACACCUUAACCUACCCACAUUCACAAUUCACUUAUGAACAUCUUUUUUCUUAAAUAUCAAUUAACCUUGGAAGAUAUAUACAACAAAUAUCAAGCUAUUAAGGUCAAUAUCUUGUGUUCAUAACACAAUAUUUUUUUCUCAACAAAUCCUUAAAAUAUAUCCUUAACUAUUUUUAAUUAAAUAUUUUAAAACAUAUAUUUUUUAAUUGUUUUUUAUCGUUUAAUUUUUUAUUAAUUAAGUGACAUGAUUAUUAUUUUUCUUACCAUCUUGCGGUUAAUAUAAAAUAAAACAAUAUUAUAGUUAAUGUAAAACAAUAAGCUUAACUAACUUUAUUUUUUCAUAAAAGAAUUAUUAGAUAACGAGUUUAUCAUGUUUUUUUAGUUGUAAUUUUCAUGUCAUCAUAUACCAUAAAAAAAAGAUCAUCACCAUUGAUAUAAAUAGCAAUUAUCAAACACUUUUUCAAUGAAAAUAAUAAAAAUCACUUUUCAAUUUACAUUAAUCACAAUUUAGUUUUAUAUUAAACACAAAACAUCACAUUUUUAAUAUGUGGAAACAAGUAGCAGAGUAAUGGAAUAAAAUAAAAGUAAUGUAAACCACACAAAAUUAAACAAAAAAAAAAAUUCAAUUUUUUUUUUAAUACUAUUUAAUAAAAAUAACCUAGACCUUGAACCCUAAAUUCAUAGUAUUUUGAUUUUUAAAAAAAAUAAAUUUUGUCUUAUUUUUAAAAAAAAAUAUACAAUUUGAUCUGUUUUAUUAAAUUAACAUAAAGAGGAGGAAGUGGUGACAUGAUGUGACAAAGUUAUAAACGCACGUAUAAAAAUGUUAUAAAGUAUGAUUUAAAUUAGUAAUUACAAUUCACUGCAUAAUAAUUUAAAUUUUAAUAUUUUGAAACUUAACCUUAUAUAUUUUAAAUAUUUUUUAUGGCAGCAAACUUUGAAAAUAGUUAUUAAUUAUUAUUAUUAGUGGUAGUUAUAUCUUAUAAAAAUUACAACACAAUUUCCAAGUAAAAUCAUACUUAGUCUUUGAAAAGUUUGACUUUUCCUUCUCUCUGAAGGAAUGAAGGAUCUAUUUAACCACUCCUACUUUACCCUACCUGAAACACACAGAGCCUCAACUCGCUCAAAUGGAUUUGGUUGUAAAUUCCUUGAAUGCAACCACCAUUGCACUCGCUUCUCUAAUUCUCUUCUGUUUCUUUCUCUAUGGUCUCUUCAAAUUUUCUCGAGGGAAAGAACCUCCCACAGUUGCAGGUGCAUGGCCAAUACUUGGUCACCUUCCAUUGAUGAGUGGUUCAAAGUCACCCCACAGAACUUUGGGUGCUUUGGCCGACAAAUAUGGACCCAUUUUCACCAUCAAACUUGGUGCGAAAAGGGCUGUGGUAAUCAACAACUGGGAAAUAGCAAAGGAAUGCUUCACCACAAACGACACAGUCGUUUUCGGUCGCCCCAAGCUUGUUUCGGUGGAACUCAUGAGCUACAACCAAGCCAUGUUUGCCUUAGCACCCUAUGGUCCCUAUUGGCGAAAAAUAAGAAAGCUUACAAUUUCAGAGAUUCUCUCCCCUCAGCAAGUGAGGCAGCAACGUCAUCUUUUUGAGUCAGAGGUUCAAGAAUCGAUCAAGGAGCUCUUUGACCUUUGGCGCAGCAACAAGAAUGAGAGCGGCUAUGCCUUGGUGGACUUGAAGCAAUGGUUUUCUCAUCUGAUAUUCAACAUGGUCCUUCAAAUGAUUACAGGGAAGCGAUAUUUCAGUGCAGCAACUGUAGACGAUGAGAAGGCACAGAGAUGUGUGAGGACUGUGGAGGAGUUGAUGCGUCUGAUGGGGGUGUUCACAGUGGGAGACGCUGUUCCUUGGUUGAGACGGUUUGAUUUGGGAGGGAAUGAGAAGGCUAUGAAAGAAAUUGCUAAAGAGUUGGAUAUUAUUCUUGGUGAGGAGUUAGAGGAACACAGAAAAAGGAAGGGUUUGGGUGAAGCUAAAGAUUUCAUUGAUGUGAUGAUUUCCUUGUUUGAUGGAACAAUUACUGAUGGGGUCGAUGCAGAUACCGUUAUCAAAUCCACCAUACUGGUAUGUAUCUUCAAUAUGAACAUUAUAAUCCUUUCAAACUUCAACCGUCUAGUAUUUUAUUUUUCUUUCUAAUUUUGUUUUCUGCAUGGCACAGUAUAGCAUGGUUGAAUAGUGUAUAUUAGGGAUAACGAUCUGAGUCAACCCAUUCUAGAUAGAUAUGUCCUGUUAAAAAGUACAGAUUAAUUCUAUUGGUUUAUCUCUAAGGAAAAGAUUUCUUUAACAUCCAAAAAUAAAAUACAUACAAUUUAACAAAUCAUUAUAAUAAUAUUUUUAAAUUAAAAAAUAAUAUAACAAUGUUCUGAUUUUCAAUAAAAUUUGAAUUUUGAUUAUAAUAAUAAAUUAUUUAAUAAAAUAUUUUAUUAAAUAUAUACAUUUUUUUAAAGGUAAAUACAUUAUUACUAUUAAUUUGAAAAAUAAUAUAUUUAUAUAUAUAAUACAACCUUUAAAUUUUAUUAUAAAAAAGACUAAGGUAUUUUUUUUUUUUGAAAUGUCCCUUUUAAUUCAAUUUUAUUUUUUGUUGACAAAAAAAAUAUACUUUUUAGAAAGAUAAAAAACACCAUUUAUUAAAAAAUCAUUAUUGAAUUUUGUGAGGGUGAUAUAAAUUAGGGAUUGAGUGUAGAUUCUUCCUGCAUCUCCAUGCCUUUCUUCUUGCAUCCCAUUAUACAAAAAAUACUCAAAUUAUGCUUUGGCAUUUUUCUUUAAUUCCGAAAUGUGACAUUUAAUUUGGAAGUUAAAAUUUGUUUUGGGAUUGUACAUUAUUUCAGAUUGUACAAUCCAAAAUACAAAUUUGUAUACUAGAUUAUUGAAUUUGAAAUAAAUAAUUUUACAACUUUUGAGAAUAAGAGGUUGCUAGAAGAAAUAAAUAAGAUGAAGAAAUUAAAUAAAUUUAUGAAUUAAAAUUAGUUUAUAUAUGAAUUAAAAAUAAUAUUUUAUGUAAAUUGAUUUUAAUAUAUGAUUUUUUUUUUGUUUUAUAGAAGAACUUGUGAAUAAAACCAUAUUCUUAAUUUGUUUAAUUUGCAGACACUGAUUGCAGGAGGAACUGACACAAGUAGUGUUGUUCUUGUGUGGGCAAUGUGUUUGAUUUUGGGAAAUCCUUUGGUAUUGGAAAAAGUGCAAGCCGAACUAGACAUUCAUAUUGGAAAAGAGAAAUGCGUAAGUGAGUCUGAUAUGAGUAAGUUAACAUAUCUUCAAGCCAUAGUCAAAGAAACUUUAAGAUUAUAUCCUCCGGGUCCUCUUGCGACACCUCGUGAAUUCACAGAGAAUUGCACUUUAGGUGGUUAUAAUAUAAAAAAAGGAACUCGACUAAUCACAAAUCUUUGGAAGAUUCACACAGACAAGAAUGUUUGGGAAGAUCCAUUGGAGUUCAAACCUGAAAGGUUUCUUACAACUUACAAAGAUCUCGAUGUUAAAGGUCAUCAUUUUGAGCUAAUACCAUUUGGAGGUGGUAGAAGAAUGUGUCCAGGAAUAUCCUUUGGCCUUGAAGUAGUGCAAUUCUCUCUUGCUAGUAUUUUGCACUCUUUUGAAUUUUUAAGUUCAUCACCUGAUCCUAUUGACAUGACCGAAAACUUUGGAUUAGCCAACACCAAAGCCACUCCACUUGAGAUUCUUAUUAAACCACACCUAUCUUUUAGUUGUUAUGAAAACAACUAAUCCAUGUGCUAGUUAUGCGGUCACAAUUUAUUUUCAUUCAAAGUAUCGUUCAAAGUCUUUGCUAUCUUUGUAUUUUUGUUCAAAGUGCUUGAUAUAUUUUAAUUUUCCUUUAAUGUACUUGAUAGAUUUAUAGCUUAUCUUUGUAAACUUUGAAACUCUUUCAAAUAUAUCAUUAAUAAAAAGAAUAAUUACACCGCAUAUUCUCACUACUUUAUUCCUUCUUUAUCGAUAUUUUCUUUAUAUUUUUCAAGUCCCUCUUAUGGAAAUAAAUCUUUGUAAAUUUUUUUCCUCUAUACAUCCUUCCAACUAGUAAGGCUCUGAUUUGGAUGUGAUUUGAAUCAUUCUUUAGCUUUUCCUGUCAAUGAGAAAGGAAAUAAACGUAGAUAAACAGUUUCAAUAUCACCUGAUUGAAAGUCUAUUGUUCCUACCAAUUCAUAAAAUGUAGACAAAUGUGUAUAUGGAUCCUCAUGGUCCAUUGUUGUAAAUUGAUGGGUACUUAUCAGACUGAGGAAUGCAGGUUUCAUCUCCAAGGCGUUGGUGGUAGAAGGUAUUGCAAUACUAGAGAAAUGAUGGCCUCUGGUGCAUAGCAUAAUCUCCAAGUGUUCUCUUGGGUUGUUGAUGACUUUUUACGGCAAGUGCACUGUGUUUGUCAGAAGUAAUAAUUGUCCCUAAGAACGAAUAUCAAUCCACAAGGAACAAUGAAGUGAAUUAUUGAGUACAAAAUUCGCUAAAUAUAACAACAGAACAAUAAAAAGAGUUUUGAAGUGAUUGUGUUGACACCGAUCAAUAAUAAAAUAAACAAAGAAUUAGUUGCUUGAAUUGAAAAAAUAGGGAUUAGGUUUCAUUUUUCUCACUCUCAUGUAUUUUGAUUAGGAUGUUAAUAUUAAGUUCUUUGAUUGAAAUUGAUGGCCAUAAAAAAUUCAUUUUUAUCGAUCCCUCGCAUAUAAAAUCCUUAAAAAUGUUUCCUAAAUAUCGAUCCCUUGCAUAUUUAUAAAAACAACUUAGAAUCCCAUUGAGACGUUAAUGUCAAUUAACAUUUCAAGUUUAUCCUUAACACUCAAAUAUGUUAAGUAUUGUUGUUCAGGUUUGAACCCUAAAAAUACCUCUCGGUUAGAUUUAAGACUAUCAAUUUGUCACGGAAAGUUAAAAGUAAAACAACAAUACCAAUAAUCAAUCAAGAACUUAAUAUUAAUAUAUAAGAUAUCACCUCAAUAUAUAAGAGUUUGAGCAUAUUACUCCAAAUCCAAAAUGGUAAAAUUAGCCACGCAUACUUCUAGCACCUUCCAUUCUCCUAAUUGGGUUACAAUUCACUCUAUGGUGUUUUCCUCUCAAUCUGACACAGUAGGAUUGAGCCUCUAGCCCCCUAUUUAUCCUAAUUUUCUAGGGUUAGGUCGCUUCUUAUGUCGUGCUAAUGGGCUAAGUGAUAAAACAUAAAAAAAACCCCAAUCUUUCUGACGUAUUCUCGCUCAAGCGAGAUACUCUUGUGGCGAAAUAGUCUUUUUCUGCAUCUCUUUGCAUUCUAGGACCUACCUUCUAGCUUUAUCUUUUUAGCUCAAAUUAUUCUCCUUUACUCCAAAUCUUCAAUCCUCCCUAAAAAUAUGCAAUUAACACCAAAUUUGGGAAUAAAAUUCUCUUAUUCAAAUAAAGAUCAUACAAAAUGUAUAAAUUCAUAAAUUAGAGAUUAUUCUAUAUGUAAAUUAGCAAUAAAUCCUCCUAAGUGCCUAAAUUUUAAUAUGAAAUAUUACUGAAAUUAGACACUUAUGAGUUGUGGUGGUGGUUUUUUUUGGCUAUAAUGCUUUCUUCUUGAAAAAUAUUAAUGGGAAGGAAAAAAAUGGUUAAGGAUUCUUCUAUAGUCUCUUUGUUUUUCUGUUCUCUUUCUCUCGUUGUUUCUUGUAGCUGCCUUUUCAAUCUCUAAUUUAAACAAUUGAGGAUUCUUCUAGCAGAAACAAUUUAAGCCAUAACAGUUCUUGGAGUUAAUCUUUAAAAGGUUUAAUUUGUAUUUUUUAGAAGUUCACAGUGUAUAAAAAAAUAAUUUUCUUUAAAAAUUAGAUUCAAAUUGGUUCUACAACAAUGUGCUUUGAUAAAAGACUUUACUUUUAAAUUGUAAAGCAAGAUUCAAAUCAGCUUUCAAUAACCGUCUAUUUAAACAAUAAAACACUUUAAAUCACAUUUUAAAAUCAAAUUUGAUAUGAUGAUGUUUAAAACCAGUUCCAAAACGAGAUUUCUUAUUGAUGGUUUGUUUUUAAGUAUGAACUUGUCAUCAAAGACACCAUCCAGUUUUUAAGUUUGAUUAAUUUCUUUAGUUGUUAGAAGUAAUGAAUACGAGAGAAGAAUAACACACAAUGAUUUAUACUAAUAUGAGAGAAGUAGUGUAUAUACUCUUACUUACGAUAAAGAAUUAUAAAAAUUAAAAGAAGUAAAACUUGACGAAAUUUGUACUUCCAUCAUUAUUUUUUCCUUUAUCACUUAUUUCUAUACUCUUUCUUUAACAACAUUGUAAUAUAGCGAUUUUUUAUAACAAAAUAUGAAAUAAUUUUAAAACGUGUGAAGAAAACGGUAUGGAUGAAUGGAUACGUUAUAUUGAUAAAUAAAUAAACCACAUGCGUUGGUUUUAAUCAAGACAAUAACUUGACAUAUACAUACGUAUCUCCAAAAUUUUAUUUACCCAAUUCUUACCAAAAAUAUUUUAAAAUAAUUAAUUUGUCGUCGUAUAAAUUCUCACUUCUAAUUGAAAAAUGUAUGAGCAUAUUUAUUUUCCAAUUUGUAACAAAAUUUACGAAUUUAUAUAUAAUUUUACAAUAAUUAUUUUUUAGUUUAUUAACAUGGCAUAAAAUUAAAGUUUUCGUUUUCUUUUAUUGACAUGUUGGUCGAAUAAGAGGUUUUUUUUAUUUUAUUUUAAUUUCUUUAAUUAUUUAAUUACCUAAAUUAUUUCAAUCAACACAACAAGUAAGAUAGGACGUUUAUAAAUAAUUAUCAGAAUAAUAUUUCAUUAAGUAAACUAAUUCUUAAUAUUUUAGAACAGUUACCAACAAGUAUCCACAGUUAAAAAAUAAAAAUAAAAAUAUAAAUUUAAUAUAUUAUAAAAAAAUAGAUUUGAAUAUUACACUUAUCAAAAUUACUUUCUAUUUUAGUUUCUAAUUUUUUUUAUAGACUCUUGAAUUAAAAAAUUAAAAAUAUUUUUUAUUCAUCCCAAUCUAAAAGUGAUAGUUUAGUCUUUUGAAAUUUAAAUACUAUUUUGAGUUAUCUAAUUUAUUAAUAAUUGACAAAUUCGUUAAUAAUUAUAGAUUCAAUUGAAAAAAAUAAAGAAUAAAAAAAACAAAGCAUCAAUGACAUAAACUCAUAAUAAUGAAUCCAGACACUGAAUUACAAAACAUUAUUUUAUUUAUAUGAAUUCGAUUGCACUUUCUUUAUAAUGAUAUUUCUUUUGAGUUUUAAUUAUCUAGAAAUUUUCCAAACAAUUAUAUGUGACAAAGCAUGAACAUGAAAUCAAUAACAGUAUAUAUGAAGUUGAAUGUGUAACGAUGUGACCAUUUUACACUAUCAAUCUAUUCCAUGUUUUUCCAUUACAAUUUGAUUUGUGUGCUUAAAGUGAUCAAUCAUGGAUGCAAAUAAUGAUGAAAUAGAAAUUAAUAUGCUCAUAAAAAAAUAAAGGCAACGUUGGUGUACCUAACAUGGUGGUGACGAACUACAUCAACUACAUUAGAACAGUUCUUUUAUGGGUGGUGUGUGUGCUGCCUUAUGUGAAUAAGGAAAAUUUUACGUAUAUAUUGUGGAGGUAGGAAAAGUUUUAUCUACCCCACGGGACGCCAAAUGUUCUAGCCAAGAGGGAUGUCUCCCUACUAAAGCGUACAAUUAAGCCAGAAACAAUGGUUUCUAGCCCUAAAGUGUUUGUCAGGUCAUCUUCUUUCCCUUAUAUAAGUUAGUGCUCUCCUCCCUUUUUGUAUCCCUUCUUGUUUUGAGUUAUAUUUUCAAAUUGAUUACAAUCACAUAUAUACGGUCGAUCUCCAUAAUCAACGCACUCUCCUCUUUAUGAAAAAUAAAUAAGAUCUUUUUCAUUAAUUUCAGAGAUAGACUAUUUCACCACAUCAUCGGUCUGAUAAGUUCAUAACCAUUAUUUACAUAGAUCGACACAAAAACCAUUUCACCAUGUGAUAACACUCGAUCCAUGAUCUCACAAUACCAAAUUAAAAGAAUUCUUAAUUUUUUUUGAAAAUAAAGCUAUUUUGAAAUUGUUGUUAAAUUAUUUCAUCUUAAUAUUUAGGUCUUAUUUUCAAAAUUUGAAUUCCAACACGAUUUAUCUAUUAAUAUAACGUGUCUUAAUUUUAAUUAUAUCUCUCUAUACUUUUUUAGUAAGUUUUAAAAGUCUUGUCAUGAUUUGUGCGUGUUAUCUUUACUCGGGGACUCUUUGUAUCUUUCCAAUGUUCUCAUAUGUCCCACAAGAGACAAAGUCUCUUUUCAAUUAUUUUAGCAAUAAUAGAAAACUUACUUAUUUUAAAAUACUAUUCAGUAUUAUUAGAGCAUUCUUAUUGGGGUAAGUCAGGUACUACUUUAAUGUUUAUGUACUGUUUGAAUAAAUGUCCCAUUGAAAAAUGUGAGCAUUUUUGUCCCAUUCUUAACUUUAUUGUUUGGUAGAAAUUUUUCGUCCGGAAGAGUAAUUAAGUGGUGCAGUUUCUACCUAACUCUCCGGCCACCUGUUUAAUGCUAAUACGUCGUCAUUCGUGCUCAUAUGUUGAUGCGAAAAGAUUUAUUUCACAUUAAAAACAUAUAUUUAACAUCACAUUAUUAUAAUAAUAUAAUCAGGUUUAAAAUUAAAAAAUAAAUUAAAUAUAUGUUUAAUAUGUCUCAGUUUUUUUUUUCAGAAAAUGUUUUUUAUGAAUGAUUUAAAAUGUUUUUUUUCUUAUUUUUAUAAUUAUAAUAUAAUCUUUUAGAAUAAAAAUUUAAUUUUUAAAAAAUUAAUAUGUUUUUUCUUUUAAAAAUUUUGUUAGAAUUCUAAUAAAAUUGUCAAAAAUUUUAAAAAUAUAUUUAAGAGACGUAUUUAACUUAGUUUGAUAAGUAAGAGAUUUGUGAAAGGUAUUAAUUAAAAGAGUGGUGAUAUAUUAACACUUUUAAUGAUAAAAACACAUUUUUUUUUAAAUAAAAGUUUUCAUGUUAGACAUCAUUAUGCAGUUUUUACACUUUUUAUACUAUAAUAAAUUAAUAUUUUAUUUAUUUUUAUUUUAUUUUUUAAUUUAAAAAUAUUAUUAUAAACAAUGUAAAUGUAUGUUUUUUUAUUCACUAUAAUAAAAUCAUGAAAUAGAAACCAAUUUGUAGAAAUCAAAAUAAUUAGUUGCAAUAGUAACUAAAAAGAAAUUUGGUUUCUAAAUUAGUUUCUAUUAUUGUUAAAUAGUUUCUAAAUUGGUAUCUAAUUAGCAACUAAGGUUUUUCUACCAAAUUUAGAAACUAAAUAAUUGGUAGUUAAAAUCUUAAUUGCUAAUUAAAUAUCAAUUUAAAAACUAUUUAAUAAUAAUAUAAAUUAAUUUGAAAAACUAAUUUUGUUUACUUUCUAAAUAUUUAAUGAUUUUCUGUCUGAACAAAACUUUUCUCUAAUUAAGAAGGAGUGAUACUUUAUAAUUUGUGUUUUAUAAAUAAUUACUUUACAAUUUUGCUAUAGUGAUAUAAUAUUUAAAGUUAUCUAAUUAAUUUAUACUUUUUACAUUUAUUAUAUUAUUAUAGUUGUAAAGUAUUAUAAAAUUAUCUUUAUGUUGAGUAAAAAAUAGAUGAUUUGAUAAGUAAUUAGAGAGAUCUUUAUAAAAGUGGAGUGAUUUUUGUCUAUUAUCACUAUGAAGUUUGUUAUUGACACGAUUUUUCCAAAUUUAGAAAAUAACUAUAUUUUAAUUAUGAGUGGCGGCAAAUAUUAACUCAUCUUUUCAAGAGAGAAAUGAUAUUUUAACUAUAAAAAAUGAUUUGAUUUGAUUGAUUUAAAUAUAAAUAUAUAUUAUAAUAAGAUUGUAUAAAAUAGUAGGGUUGUUAGAAACCUAAGAACAGUGUCAGAGAGUGACUCACAAGUUAGAGAUAUUAAAAUCCAAUUUGUGUAGCCUCAAGCAUGCAUCGCAUACACAAUCUUCUCUCUUGGGUAAAAUGGAUCUAAAUGUUUCUGCAAUUGGACUUGUUUCUCUACUUCUCUUCUGUUUCUUUUUCUUUGGUCUCUUCAAAUUUUCUCAAGGAAAAGAAGCUCCCACAGUUGCAGGUGCAUGGCCAAUACUUGGCCACCUUCCAUUGUUGAGUGCUUCAAAGAGACCCCAUAGAACUUUGGGUGCUUUGGCUGACAAAUAUGGACCCAUUUUCACCAUCAAACUUGGUGCCAAAAGCGCUUUGGUAAUCAACAACUGGGAAACGGCAAAGGAAUGUUUUACCACAAACGACAUAGUCGUUUCCUCUCGCCCCAAGCUUGUUGCUGCUGAACACAUGAGCUACAACCAAGCCAUGUUUGUGGUAGCACCCUAUGGUCCCUAUUGGCGAAAAAUAAGAAAGAUUACAGUUUCAGAGAUUCUCUCCCCUCUGCGAGUGAAGCAGCUGCGUCAUGUUUUUGAGUCAGAAGUUGAAGGUUCGAUCAAGGAGCUCUUUGACUUUUGGCGUAGCAACAAGAAUGAGAGCGGCUAUGCCUUGGUGGAGUUGAAGCAAUGGUUUUCUCAUCUGAUAUUCAACAUGGUCCUUCAAAUGAUUACAGGGAAGCGAUAUUUCAGUGCAGCAACUGUGGAUGAUGAGAAGGCACGGAGAUUUGUGAGGGCUAUGGAGGAGUUCAUGCGUCUGUUCGGGUUGUUCACAGUGGGAGAUGCUGUUCCAUGGUUGAGAUGGUUUGAUUUUGGAGGGCAUGAGAAGGCAAUGAAAGAAACUGCGAAAGAGUUGGAUAGUAUUAUAGGUGAGGAGUUAGAGGAACAUAGAAAAAGGAAGGGUUUGGGUGAGAAGGUUGAUGAAGCUAAAGAUUUCAUGGAUAUCAUGAUUUCAUUGUUUGAUGGAAGAACUAUUGAUGGGGUCGAUGCAGAUACCGUAAUCAAAUCCACCCUUCUGGUAUGUAUAUUCAUUACACACACAUUAUAAUCUUUUCAAAUUUCAACAAAAUUCAACAUACAUAUAAAACGAAUUAAUAUAUAUAUAUAUAUAUAUUUAUAUUGGUGUAUGUAAAUUUUUUCUUAAGAGAUAUUUAAAAAAAAAAAUAGUUUCUAUUAUUAAUAAAUAAUUUCUAAAUUGGUAUCUAAUGUUUUAAUUAUCAAUUAUUUAGAUUUUAAAUUUUGUAGAAAUAAUCUUGGUAGCUAAUUAGAUACCAAAAUAGAAACUAAUAACUUUUUUAGUCUCUAAACUAGUAUUUAAUUUACUCAAUAUAACACCUAGUUAUAUUUGGUAUCUAAAAUUGGUUUCUAUUUAAUGAUUUUCUUGUAGUGAUGGUUGUAUAGUUUAAUAUAUACCAUGAUUGUAAAGUCUAUCUAAAGAACGAGAAUGCCGGUUAGCCUAUCCUAUAUAGGUCUGUUCCAUAUAGAAAAUGAAUGUUGAUUUUAUUGGUUUGUCUUUAAUGCUGAUUGCUUCCCAAAUGUGCACAUAAGAAAUAUAUAUUUUAAAUUAUAAAAAAUAAAUUUUGAAUAUUUUUUUUAUUAAGUUAAUCUUUUAUUUAUUUAAAUGAAUUAGAUAAAUUGUCUCACAAUAUUAUUCUCAUGAUAAUGCCUAAUAAGAUAUAGGUAAAAAAUAAUAUUAUAAUUAUGUUUUGAUUUUCUAUAAAAUUAGAAUUUUAAGGCAAAUACAUUAUUACUAUUCUAAUUUGAAAAGUAAUAUAAAAUAAUAUAUAUAUAUAUAUAUAAUACAAUUUUUAAAUUUUAUUAUAAAAAAAGAGUAAGGUAUGCUAAUGCAUUUGACAUAUGAUGAUAUGCAUUUCAGAAAGACAAAAAAACACCAUUAAAUAUUAAAAAAUCAUUAUUGAAUUUUGUGAAGGUGCUAUGAAUUAGGGAUCCACUGUAGUUUCUUCAUGCACCACCUCCAUGUCUUUCUUCUUGCAUCCCAUAGUUCAUAAAAUAUUCAAAUUAUCCUUUGAUAUUUUUCAUUGAAUGUUUUUCUUUAAUUCUGAAAUGUGGCAUUUCAUCUAGAAGUUAAAAUUUGUGUUUGGGAUUGUACAUUAUUUCAGAUUGCACAAUCCAAAAUACAAAUUUGUAUACCAGAUUAUAGAAUUUGAAAUGAAUAAUUUUAGAAAUUUUGAGAAUAAGUGGCUGCAAAAAAAAUCAUGGGGGUAUAUAUAAAAAAAACUAAUUCUUAAAAAAUGUGGGUUAUACGGGUCAACGUGCCUUAUCCCACACUUUGCCGGUAUGUGCUACGGGUUAUGCGAGGCGGGUCAACAAGUUGAAAUAGCCAGUCUACCCUGUAUUUCUUUUAGCGGGCCAAGGACUGGUCUACACGACCCACUCCGUUUUGCCAUCCAUAAUUUAAGUAACUAGUUACUAAAUAUAAAGUAUUAUAAUUAUGUGAAAUAUAUAUAAUAAAUAAUUUAUUUACGUAAAUUACACUAUAGUAAUUUUAAAUUUGAUUAGAGUAAACACUUGUAAAAUAUUCUUCUAUCAUGUCUAUUGGCAAUUUUUUCAAGUAAAUGUAUCCACAAACACUUACAAAAGAAAUAAAUAAGAAGAAGAAAUUAAAUAAAUUUUUUACAAACUAAAAUUAGUAUAUAUGAAUUAAAAAAAUAUUUUACAUAGAUUUAUUUUAAUAUAUGAUUUGUUUCCCUUAUAGAAGAACUUGUGAAUGACCAUAUUCUUAAUUUUCUUAAUUUGCAGGCAGUGAUUGCAGGAGGAACUGACACAAGUAAUAUUGUUCUUACGUGGGAAAUAUCUUUGAUUUUGAGGAAUCCUUUGGUAUUGGAAAAAGUAAAAGUGGAACUAGACAUUCAUAUUGGAAAAGAGAAAUGCGUAAGUGAGUUUGAUAUAAGUAAGUUAACAUAUCUUCAAGCCAUAGUCAAGGAAACUUUAAGAUUGUAUCCUCCUGCUCCUCUUUCGACGCCUCGUGAAUUCAUAGAGGACUGCACUUUAAGUGGUUAUAAUAUAAAAAAAGGAACUCGUCUAAUCACAAAUCUUUGGAAGAUUCACACAGAUAGUAAUGUUUGGGAAGAUUCAUUGGAGUUCAAACCAGAAAGAUUUCUUACAACUCAUAAAGAUAUUGACGUCAAAGGUCAUCAUUUUGAGUUAUUACCAUUUGGAGGUGGCAGAAGAAUGUGUCCAGGAAUAUCCUUUGGCAUUGAAGUAGUGCAUUUCUCUCUUGCUAGUUUUUUGCAUUCUUUUGAAAUUUUAAGCUCAUCACCUAAUCCUAUUGACAUGACUGAAAACUUUGGAUUAACCAACACCAAAGCCACUCCAC